UUAGGCCGGGAACUCAAAGGAGACUGCCAGUGAUAAACUGGAGGAAGGUGGGGAUGACGUCAAGUCAUCAUGGCCCUUACGACCAGGGCUACACACGUGCUACAAUGGCGCAUACAAAGAGAAGCGACCUCGCGAGAGCAAGCGGACCUCAUAAAGUGCGUCGUAGUCCGGAUUGGAGUCUGCAACUCGACUCCAUGAAGUCGGAAUCGCUAGUAAUCGUGGAUCAGAAUGCCACGGUGAAUACGUUCCCGGGCCUUGUACACACCGCCCGUCACACCAUGGGAGUGGGUUGCAAAAGAAGUAGGUAGCUUAACCUUCGGGAGGGCGCUUACCACUUUGUGGUUCAUGACUGGGGUGAAGUCGUAACAAGGUAACCGUAGGGGAACCUGCGGUUGGAUCACCUCCUUACCUUAAAGAAGC
rnacentral:rRNA from 1 species